GACGAACGCUGGCGGCGUGCUUAACACAUGCAAGUCGAACGAUGAAGCCGGAGCUUGCUCUGGUGAAUUAGUGGCGAACGGGUGAGUAACACGUGAGUAACCUGCCCUUGACUCUGGGAUAACUGCGGGAAACUGUAGCUAAUACCGGAUACGACCCUCGGAGGCAUCUCCUGGGGGUGGAAAGAAUUUCGGUCAAGGAUGGACUCGCGGCCUAUCAGCUAGUUGGUGAGGUAAAGGCUCACCAAGGCGACGACGGGUAGCCGGCCUGAGAGGGUGACCGGCCACACUGGGACUGAGACACGGCCCAGACUCCUACGGGAGGCAGCAGUGGGGAAUUUUGGGCGGAAGCCUGACCCAGCAACGCCGCGUGGGUGAUGAAGGCCUUCGGGUCGUAAAGCCCUUUUCCCGGGGAAGAUGGUGACGGUACCCGGGGAAUCAGCCCCGGCUAACUACGUGCCAGCCGCCGCGGUAA
rnacentral:rRNA from 1 species